rnacentral:rRNA from 1 species
GGAGUUAGCCGGUGCUUCUUCUGUGAGUGAUGUCCUUCCUGCCGGCUAUUAACCCGCAGGCCUUCUUCCUCACUGAAAGUGCUUUACAACCCGAAGGCCUUCUUCACACACGCGGCAUGGCUGGAUCAGGGUUGCCCCCAUUGUCCAAUAUUCCCCACUGCUGCCUCCCGUAGGAGUCUGGGCCGUGUCUCAGUCCCAGUGUGGCUGAUCAUCCUCUCAGACCAGCUACGGAUCGUCGCCUUGGUGAGCCGUUACCUCACCAACCAGCUAAUCCGACAUAGGCUCAUCCGAUAGCGCGAGGCCCGAAGGUCCCCCGCUUUCCCCCGUAGGGCGUAUGCGGUAUUAGCCUGGGUUUCCCCAGGUUAUCCCCCACUACCGGGCAGAUUCCUAUGCAUUACUCACCCGUCCGCCGCUCGCCACCAGGGAGCAAGCUCCCCGUGCUGCCGCUCGACUUGCAUGUGUAGCUGCCGCCAGCGUCAUCUGAGCAGAGACACAACUCUACGACGNGACGGCGGCGCGACGACGCGACA